rnacentral:lncRNA from 1 species
CCCCCCCCCAAAAAAAAAAAGAAAAGAAAAAGUUAAAAAGUAACAGAAGAAACGAAAAAAAAAAAAAAACCAAAACAACACAACAAACCAAAAAACAUAGUUUCUCUCAUCCACUAGAAGUGUUUAUCAGUAAUUUCAUAGUUUCGAAAAACCACCGUAUCACCGUUUCCUCUAAUAAACGGGCGCAAAAAACAUUCUCGGGUUUUCGGGUUACGCAUGUGCUUUUGUUCGCCCCCUGUCGUCGCCGUUAUUGUUAUAGUUGAAGUUUUUCUCUUGUUUUCAUCGUGAAAACAAGUUUACGAACAUUGUUAAACGACCCUAACACUUUCUGUUUUUGUUUUUGGAGUACCACUUUAUCUACAGAAAAGUUUUUAAAAAACCCAAAACAUUUGAACAGUACAAGUAAAUCUAUCAAUCUAUCUAUCUAUCUAUCUAUCUAUCUAUCUAUCUAUCUAUCUAUCUAUCUAUCUAUCUAUCUAUCUUUCUGUCUGUCUGUCUAUCUGUUUGCUUCUGUCUCCCUGUAUAGAUAUAUAGAUUGAUAGAUAUACAUACACAUAUUUAAGGAUGCAUCGCGGUGAAAAAUAUGAACUGUCUCCAUCCGAUUCUGGUCCGGCACCAAGUCAAAGG